GUGAGGAAUAUUGGUCAAUGGGCGGGAGCCUGAACCAGCCAAGUCGCGUGAAGGAAGAAGGAUCUAUGGUUCGUAAACUUCUUUUGCAGGGGAAUAAAGUGCAGGACGUGUCCUGUUUUGUAUGUACCCUGAGAAUAAGGAUCGGCUAACUCCGUGCCAGCAGCCGCGGUAAUACGGAGGAUCCGAGCGUUAUCCGGAUUUAUUGGGUUUAAAGGGUGCGUAGGUGGUUUGAUAAGUCAGCGGUGAAAGUUUGCAGCUUAACUGUAAAAAUGCCGUUGAAACUGUCGGACUUGAGUGUAAAUGAGGUAGGCGGAAAGCGUGGUGUAGCGGUGAAAUGCAUAGAUAUCACGCAGAACUCCGAUUGCGAAGGCAGCUUACUAAGCUACAACUGACACUGAAGCACGAAAGCGUGGGGAGCAAACAGGAUUAGAUACCCGAGUAGUCC
rnacentral:rRNA from 1 species